rnacentral:rRNA from 1 species
AGCGAACGCUGGCGGCGUGCCUAACACAUGCAAGUCGAGCGAGAAAGGGGGCUUCGGCUCCUGAGUACAGCGGCGAACGGGUGCGUAACACGUGGGUGAUCUGUCCUCAAGGCGGGGAUAACUCAGCGAAAGUUGGGCUAAUACCGGAUAAGGCCACAGGGGGAAACCCCGGGGGCCAAAGGGCACUCUCCUCUGGAGGUGCUCCCUUAAGGAGGAGCCCGCGGCCUAUCAGCUUGUUGGAGGGUAACGGCCUACCAAGGCAAAGACGGGUAGCUGGUCUGAGAGGAUGACCAGCCACACGGGGACUGAGACACGGCCCCGACUCCUACGGGAGGCAGCAGUGGGGAAUAUUGGGCAAUGGGGGAAACCCUGACCCAGCGACGCCGCGUGGGUGAUGAA